GGAAAGGUGCAGGAGUGGCUGAACUGGCACGCCUGGAAAGCGUGUGUACUUGCAAGGGUACCGUGGGUUCGAAUCCCACCCUUUCCG
rnacentral:tRNA from 1 species